rnacentral:misc_RNA from 1 species
UCUCCGUAGGUGAACCUGCGGAGGGAUCAUUACACAAAUAACAUAUGAAGGCUGUACGCGGCUGUGCCCUUUGGGUGCAGCGUCUGCUGCAGCUGGAUUAUUUAUUUUCACCCUUGUCUUUUGCGCACUUGUUGUUUCCUGGGCGGGUUCGCCCGCCACCAGGACCACAUGAUAAACCUUUUUUAUGCAGUUGCAAUCAGCGUCAGUACAACAAAAUGUAAAUCAUUUACAACUUUCAACAACGGAUCUCUUGGUUCUGGCAUCGAUGAAGAACGCAGC